GAGCAAGGAGGGCCGCCCGUGUCGUCACGUGAAACGAAAAGGGGGCUGCUCCGAGAGCAGUCACCUGACUAGGGGAGCUGCCGGAAAUCUCGCGCCUCAGCUGAGGGGAAAAGAUGGCGGCGGAAAGGGAGCCCCCUCCUCUUGGAGACAGUAGGCAGACCGAGUUUGAGGAGCUGGAAGACGGCGAGGACCUUUUCACCAGCACCGUCUCCACUCUGGAGGUAAGAGAAGGCGAGUCAAGCCCUUCAUCUCCAGAACCAGCCAGUCUUCAUGCAGAAGAUAUCAGUACAAAUUCUAAUGGUCCUAAGCCUGCAGAAAUCAUACUAGAUGAUGAUAGAGAAGACCUUUUUGCUGAAGCCACAGAAGAAGUUUCUCUGGACAGUCCAGAAAGGGAACCAAUACUUUCGUCAGAAUCUACUCCGGCUGUCACUCCUGUUACUCCACCUACAUUAAUAACACCCAGAAUGGAAUCAAAAAUGGUAGUGUCCCCUGUGGAUUUUGAUAGAUCCAGGGAAGAGAUUGAAGAAGAAGCAAAUGGUGACUUGUUUGAUAUUGACAUUAAUGUGUCAGAUCCAGAGAAAGUUGGUGAUGGUAUGAACGCAUACAUGGCAUACAGAGUAACAACAAAGACCUCUUUGUCCAUGUUUCACAAAAAUGAAUUCUCUGUUAAAAGAAGAUUCAGUGAUUUUCUUGGCUUGCACGGCAAACUAGCAUCAAAAUAUCUGCAUGUUGGGUAUAUUGUGCCUCCAGCUCCCGAAAAAAGUAUUGUAGGCAUGACCAAGGUAAAAGUAGGCAAGGAAGAUUCAUCAUCUACAGAAUUCGUAGAAAAAAGAAGAGCAGCACUAGAAAGGUAUCUACAACGAACAGUAAAACACCCAACCUUGUUACAGGAUCCUGAUUUAAGGCAGUUCUUGGAAAGUUCUGAGCUGCCGAGAGCAGUUAACACACAGGCUCUGAGUGGAGCAGGAAUAUUGAGGAUGGUGAACAAGGCUGCCGACGCUGUCAACAAAAUGACGAUCAAGAUGAAUGAAUCGGAUGCAUGGUUUGAAGAAAAACAACAACAGUUUGAAAAUUUGGAUCAGCAACUCCGGAAACUUCAUGGUAGCGUAGAAGCCUUGGUCUGUCAUAGAAAAGAGCUUUCAGCCAACACAGCUGCCUUUGCUAAAAGUGCUGCUAUGUUAGGUAACUCAGAAGACCACACUGCUUUAUCUAGAGCUUUGUCUCAGCUUGCUGAAGUUGAGGAAAAAAUUGAUCAGCUACAUCAAGAACAAGCUUUUGCUGACUUCUAUGUGUUCUCUGAGCUGCUCAGCGACUAUAUUCGCCUUGUUGGUGCAGUAAAAGGGGUGUUUGAUCAUCGAAUGAAAUGCUGGCAGAAAUGGCAAGAUGCUCAGGUCAUGUUGCAGAAAAAACGAGAGGCUGAAGCUAAACUUCAGCUUGCUAACAAACCUGACAAAUUGCAGCAAGCUAAGGAUGAAAUCAAAGAGUGGGAAACAAAAGUUCAACAAGGAGAAAGGGAUUUUGAACAAAUCUCCAAAACAAUACGCAAAGAAGUAGGAAGAUUUGAGGCAUGUAUUCAUUUCUAAUAAAUUAAAUUCAGAAAAUCAUAAUAAAACAAACAUUUUGGUUAACUUGUUCAAUGUGUAAUUGUGUUUUGUGUGCUAACAGAAAGAACGUGUGAGAGACUUCAAAACUGUUAUAAUCAAGUAUUUGGAAUCAUUAGUGCAAACACAACAACAGCUGAUAAAAUACUGGGAGGCAUUCCUACCUGAAGCCAAAGCCAUUGUCUAAGAAGAUUCUUCCAAAAUAUGAAGACUCUUUGGAUGUUUGUCCCAAUCGAGCUAAAUUCCAUAGUGAAAAUCACUUUAAAAUUAUCCAAAUAAACCACUAUAUAUUUUGAAUUUAACAUGUGGCUUUUUAUAUAGUACAGCAUUUUAUUAACAGCUGCAUGUCCUGACCCUCUUUGAAGUGGACUGUGGCAUGACAUUCUGCAAUACUUGCUGAAUUGAACACUAUUGUGUCUUAAUACUUGCACUAAAAUGUGUGAUGCAAGGCCAGAAAGUUAUUUUUGUUCUUUACUAUAUGUUCUGUCUACCUGAUCUUUAUGAAACAAAUUGCAUUUAUUAAUGUUCACAUAACAUUCCUGUACAUAAUCAAGAUUUUGUGAUUUCAGUAAUAAAAGGGAUGUACCUUGUGAAACAUUAA